GUCACCUACUUCACAAGCAAGUGGGUUGGUUCUACUACAGUAUGUUGCAUAGGCAGGACUUCCAAGGGGUGCCAUGUAUGGAUUAAAGUGUGCUGAAAUAAGAAACUGACCAGAUUUAUCCAGCCAUCAAACACCGUAGAGAAUUGCACUCUUGCUUUGAUUACAUGUCCUGUACUGUCUGAAGGUUGAUCCAAUAGAUCUGAGCACUGCCAUCUGAAAGUAAGAUACCUCCCCAUUAAACCGAACCACAUAUGUUAUCACUUCUUCAUUGGAGGGGAGGAUCACAGCACAAAGAUCAGGAUCGUUUCCUCCACCUCGGAUGACAAGGGAUCGAUGGAAGAUCAUGUCAUCGUUUAGUCCUUGGAUCUUCACCGUUCUUUCAUUCGCAACCCCUUCGUUUUAAACGGUCCACUGAGAGAUACUGUUACCAUCAUGUCGUCAUCGUUUCUAUGAAACGUCACUUCCCCUUUAUAACCUGCUAUAUUGAUCAUAGCUCGAUACGGCGAGCUGUGCACCAGCUGGAACACUAUAUAUAAAAUGUUUUCUGUAACUUCUGCUGUUAUGCAUAAUGUAAAUUAUAUUUAAGCGGCUCAUUUAGUAUAAAAGGGUGGGGUAUUUCCGACGUUUUGUCUGCCAUUCGGCAAGACUUAAAAAAAUGUUGUA